GCAGGCAGAUCCAUUUUCUGCCACCGAAUACAUUAGCAUGGGAUAAUGGAAUAGGACCCUGUCCUCCUAUUUUCAGUUGGUUUUGGCAGCGCGAGGACUAGGGUAAUGAUUAAUAGGGAUAGUUGGGGGCAUUAAUAUUUAAUUGUCAGAGGUGAAAUUCUUGGAUUUAUGAAAGAUUAACUUCUGCGAAAGCAUCUGCCAAGGAUGUUUUCAUUAAUCAAGAACGAAAGUUAGGGGAUCGAAGACGAUCAGAUACCGUCGUAGUCUUAACCAUAAACGAUGCCGACCAGCGAUUAGGAGACGUUGAAUACAAAACACCACCAUCGGUGCGGUCGUCCUUGGCGCGUUGGUCUUCAAAAGCCAGCGCGCGGGGGCGGCUUAGCCCGGUGGCACCGGUGAAUGACUCCCCUAGCAGCUUGUGAGAA
rnacentral:rRNA from 1 species